rnacentral:rRNA from 1 species
UAGGGAAUCUUCCGCAAUGGACGCAAGUCUGACGGAGCAACGCCGCGUGAGUGAAGAAGGAUUUCGGUUCGUAAAACUCUGUUGUUAGAGAAGAACAGCGCAUAGAGUAACUGUUAUGCGUGUGACGGUAUCUAACCAGAAAGCCACGGCUAACUACGUGCCAGCAGCCGCGGUAAUACGUAGGUGGCAAGCGUUGUCCGGAUUUAUUGGGCGUAAAGCGAGCGCAGGCGGUCAAUUAAGUCUGAUGUGAAAGCCCCCGGCUCAACCGGGGAGGGUCAUUGGAACUGGUUGACUUGAGUGCAGAAGAGGAGAGUGGAAUUCCAUGUGUAGCGGUGAAAUGCGUAGAUAUAUGGAGGAACACCAGUGGCGAAGGCGACUCUCUGGUCUGUAACUGACGCUGAGGCUCGAAAGCGUGGGUAGCAAACAGG